GAUGAACGCUAGCGGCAGGCUUAAUACAUGCAAGUCGAGGGGCAGCGCAGUGUAGCAAUACAUGGGCGGCGACCGGCAAACGGGUGCGGAACACGUACGCAACCUUCCUUUAAGUGGGGGAUAGCCCAGGGAAACUUGGAUUAAUACCCCGUAAUAUUAUGAAGUGGCAUCACUUUAUACUUAUAGCUCCGGCGCUUCAAGAUGGGCGUGCGACUGAUUAGGUAGUUGGCGGGGUAACGGCCCACCAAGCCUGCGAUCAGUAACUGGUGUGAGAGCACGACCAGUCACACGGGCACUGAGACACGGGCCCGACUCCUACGGGAGGCAGCAGUAAGGAAUAUUGGUCAAUGGACGCAAGUCUGAACCAGCCAUGCCGCGUGGAGGAUGAAGGUCCUCUGGAUUGUAAACUUCUUUUAUUUGGGAAGAAACCCACUGUUUCUACGGUGGUUGACGGUACCAGAUGAAUAAGCACCGGCUAACUCCGUGCCAGCAGCCGCAGUAAAAC
rnacentral:rRNA from 1 species